rnacentral:rRNA from 1 species
GCUAGGGUGACGCGGAGGGACAUUA